rnacentral:tRNA from 1 species
GCCUGGGUAGCUCAGUUGGCAGAGCGCGUUCUUGGUAAGAACGAGGUCUCGGGUCCGAUCCCCGAUCCAGGCU